rnacentral:misc_RNA from 1 species
CCGAGUCCUGAACUCCAAAACCCCCCUGUGAACGCGCGGGAAGACGGUUGCCUCGGCGGCAGCGCCCCGGCGCCGGGCCCCACCCCCCUUACAGGGGGCGCCCGCGCCGGGCUCACGGCGCCCGCCGCAGGAAGUCAAGACGCUGAAUAUUGAAAAAAAGCCUCUGAGUGGUAGCGAGAAAAUUAAGUC